UCACUCUGUUUCUUUUUUCAUUUUCUUUCUUCUUUUAACUUUCUUGCGUCAUGGGCAUGAACCAAGCGAGUGAUACGAAGUCAAAACAUAUUCUGAUUUAAAUUUGAUGCUUUUGGCCUCUGUCAUUACUCACUUAAUUAUCGUAAUCUUAAUCAUGUAUAAAAAAGCAGCUUUUUGUAUGAGGACACACUCAAAAGCAUUCUCCCUUCGAGUGGCCAAAGGUUGCUGUGCUACUUUCUUCUCUUCUAUGGAGGUGGUUCGGAUCUUGGGACCACCUCUGCUGAUCAAGAUUCAAUUUGUGGAUAUUUGUCUAGAGAUUACGUCUGCAGGUCAGCUCCUUUUUGUUCCACU